rnacentral:miRNA from 3 species
CCGGAUGAUGGUUCACAACGACC